UGGACAUAAACGUAUAUAAAUAUAUGGAGAUCUGUGCAAGCGCAGUAGCUGUUCUAUUUUAUUUUCCAUUAUGUUUUUACUUUGAUUUAGGAGUUCAAUGUUUAAUAUUCUAGUUUUAAUAAACAGAAAGUUCUUUUAUUCACACUUUUAUGAUGUUUUACUCUUUUUACACAGUUUUAUUCUUUAUAUUUCUUUAAAUAGGUUCACGUUAUGACCCAGUGGGGAUGUUUCCUCAUAGGAGAUACAGAACGUUCAAUAUUUAGCAUUCUAGUUUUAAUAAACUAAAAGUACUUUUAAGAACAAUUUUAUGAUCUUUGACUCUUUUUACCCAGUGAAACUGAACCCAAAGCCAUAUAAUAAUAAAUAAUAAUACAUAUAGUUUUAUUGUUUUCUCAUAGGAAGUACAGAAAUUUCAAUGUUCAGUAUUCUAGUUUUAAUAAUAAAUUGAAAGUUAUUUUAAGCACAGUUUUAAGAUAUUUUACUCUUUUUACCCAGUUUUAUUCUUUAUAUUUCUUUAAACAGGUUUACAUUAUGUCCCAGUAGGAAUGUUUAAUAGCAGUAACACUGAUAAACUGGACACUGGGUCUUGUUUUUGGCACAAAAAUCACCUACAUAAUAUUAACCCCUUCAGGCCUGAAUUGUGUGCCAAUGUUGAGGGGGG